ACUCCUACGGGAGGCAGCAGUGGGGAAUUUUCCGCAAUGGGCGCAAGCCUGACGGAGCAACGCCGCGUGAGGGAUGAAGGCCUCUGGGCUGUAAACCUCUUUUUUCAAGGAAGAAGACCUGACGGUACUUGAAGAAUAAGCCACGGCUAAUUCCGUGCCAGCAGCCGCGGUAAU
rnacentral:rRNA from 1 species